UACGUAGGGUGCGAGCGUUAAUCGGAAUUACUGGGCGUAAAGCGUGCGCAGGCGGUUUUGUAAGCCAGAUGUGAAAUCCCCGGGCUCAACCUGGGAAUGGCAUUUGGGACUGCAAGGCUGGAGUACGGCAGAGGAGACUGGAAUUCCUGGUGUAGCAGUGAAAUGCGUAGAGAUCAGGAGGAAUACCGAUGGCGAAGGCAGGUCUCUGGGCUGAUACUGACGUUCAUGCACGAAAGCGUGGGGGAGCAAACAGG
rnacentral:rRNA from 1 species